UUUUGUUAAGACGGUAGGUAGAUCUCAUAUUAAGUGUUCUUGCCAUGAAAACAAAAACAAAAUCCUAAAAAGAUAAACAAACAUACAAAAGGCAUGGGGAAACUUUUGGAGGUGAUGGAUAUGUUCAAUAGGUUGGAGGUGAUGGGUAUGUUCAGUAGGGUGGAGGUGAUGGGUAUGUUCAGUAGGGUGGAGAUGAUGGGUAUGUUCAGGAGGUGAUGGGCAUGUUCAGUAGGGUGGAGGUGAUGGGCAUGUUGAGUAGGUGAUGGGUAUGUUCAGUAGGUGAUGGGUAUGUUCAGUAGGUGAUGGGUAUGUUUGGUAGGGUGGAGAUGAUGGGUAUGUUCAGGAGGUGAUGGGCAUGUUCAGUAGGGUGGAGGUGAUGGGCAUGUUGAGUAGGUGAUGGGUAUGUUCAGUAGGUGAUGGGUAUGUUCGGUAGGGUGGAGGUGAUGGGUAUGUUCAGGAGGUGAUGGGCAUGUUCAGUAGGGUGGAAGUGGUUUUAUGAGGCUGUUCAUGCUUGGCCGCUCAGUUAUGUCCUACUCUGUGACCCAGGGACUGUAGCCCACCAGGCUCCUCUGUCCAUGGAAUUCUCCAGGCAAGAAUAUUGGAGUGGAUUGCCAUUUCCUGCUCCAGGGAUCUUCACGAACCAGUGUCUUUUGUGUCUCCUGCAUUGAGGACAGAUCCAGGAGUGCAUACAUAUGCCCAAACGCAUCAGAUUGUAUACAUUAAACUAAUUACGUGCAAUUUUUGUGUAUCAAUUACAUCUCAAUAAAGCUGUUAAAAAAGAAACAAAAC
ensembl:lncRNA